rnacentral:rRNA from 1 species
UACAGAGGUCCCAAGCGUUGUUCGGAUUCACUGGGCGUAAAGGGUGCGUAGGUGGCUUGGUAAGUUUGAUGUGAAAUCUCCGGGCUUAACCCGGAAAUGGCAUUGAAUACUAUUGAGCUGGAGGUUUGGAGGGGGGACUGGAAUUCUCGGUGUAGCAGUGAAAUGCGUAGAUAUCGAGAGGAACACCAGUGGCGAAGGCGAGUCUCUGGACAUUUCCUAACGCUGAGGCACGAAAGCCAGGGGAGCAAACGGG